rnacentral:lncRNA from 1 species
ACUUCUUAGCUGCCACAGCUUUCUUCACCGGAGCUUUCUUAGCAGCCACAGCUUUCUUCACUGCUGGCUUCUUAGCAGCAACAACUUUCUUCCCCGGAGUUGUCCUCGUCGACGUCCUUGAAGCCUUAGCAGGUUUCACAACUGUCUUUGCCUUGGCAGCAGGUUUGGCCUUUGCAGCAGCAGCUUUAGGUUUGGCAGCAGGAGCUUUGGGCUUGGCAGCAGCAGGCUUGGGCUUUGCAGCAACAGGUUUAGCUUUUGCAGCAACCUUAGUCUUGACAACAGCUUUAGCCUUGGGCUUAGGGCCGGGCUUGGCCUUCACUGCCGUCACCUUAGCAACUGCCUUUGUCUUUGGCUUAGCGGCUGCAGGCUUUUUCUCCGCUGAUGGUUUCGUCGCCGGAGAAAG